UACAGAGGGGGCAAGCGUUGUUCGGAAUUACUGGGCGUAAAGGGCGCGUAGGCGGCCUGCUAAGUCGAACGUGAAAUCCCUGGGCUCAACCCAGGAACUGCGUCCGAUACUGGUUGGCUUGAAUCCGGGAGAGGGAUGUGGAAUUCCAGGUGUAGCGGUGAAAUGCGUAGAUAUCUGGAGGAACACCGGUGGCGAAGGCGACAUUCUGGACCGAUAUUGACGCUGAGGAGCGAAAGCCAGGGGAGCAAACGGG
rnacentral:rRNA from 1 species